AAGCAGCUCGUCGGUACCUUAAGGAAAAUAAUGCAUGGCGCUCUUUUGGUGCUUCAAGGCCAGUAGUGCCACACGUUGAAAACCAAGGAGGAAUCUAAAUACCGUUGUCGUUCUUAUAGUUGGCAACGGCUAUAGAAAGGGUCCAAAGGGACGAGGGAUCAGGAUCGAUAUAUAUACGUACAAUGACAAAUUCAAUUCUUCAGCCAAAGGGGCGACUCCGUCGACAAUGGAACACGAUGUUUCUACUGUCGUGUGUGAUUGCUUUAACA